rnacentral:rRNA from 1 species
CAGAGGUCCCAAGCGUUGUUCGGAUUCACUGGGCGUAAAGGGUGCGUAGGUGGCUGGAUAAGUUUGAUGUGAAAGCUCAGGGCUUAACCCUGAAAUGGCAUUGAAUACUAUUUGGCUGGAGGUUUGGAGGGGGACUGGAAUUCUCGGUGUAGCAGUGAAAUGCGUAGAUAUCGAGAGGAACACCAGUGGCGAAGGCGAGUCCCUGGACAACACCUGACACUGAGGCACGAAAGCUAGGGAGCAAACAGGAUU